GCAGCGCCCCGGGGAUGCCUAACCCCAGGGAAGAUUUACGGCGGCGAUAGGUGAUGCGAUGAGUGAGUGCCAGCACCGGCCUCGGCGCAAGGCCAGCACAUGGCCGGAGCAUCACACAUCGGGUUUGGGGGAUGGAUGCCACCGCUGUCAUGCAGCCACAGCCCCUUGAACCCUUACCCCGGGGGCUGCUGGCAGCACGUGGCUUUUCAGGCAGUGGCCAUCACCCAUGGGCUCUGAUCUCUCCCGUGCCAGCUGUCGGGCUGGGCUGGGUCGCAGCGAGGAGUGGGGCUGUCCCCAGCCCCACCAGGACCUGGGGGACUCUGGGGUGGCUGCACUGAGUGGCAGGGGACCCGCAGACCCCGUGGGGAUUGCCCAGGAGGGGCUCAGGCCUUUCAGAUGAAAGGCGGGCUGCAGACGUAGGAUGCUAGAACAUUACAAAGACUGUACCCACACGGUAAACUAUUUGGGUAGGGAAUGUGUCUUAUCUAUGCUGUAUGGAGUGCUAAGUAAAUGUUAUUGCCUGCAGUGGAUGUUUUGUAAUAAGAUACAGGAGCUCACCUGCGCUCAGAACCUGUUUUGAACGUUUUGCUGCUAAUUAAAUAAACCCUGAGGAAACUCAUGAGUCCUCCAAAAGCCUCCACCACAGCUCUUGUCAUCUGAGAGCAGCAGAACUGCAGAUUUCUCUUCCCAGAUCUGUCAAUGAACAUGCACUUCUUCCCCUCCUAGGAUGGCAUCUACUCAAAACACACUGGAAGCUACUGACCAACUGAAGUGCAGUGCUGCUGCGUUGUCCCCACCUGCAUGCCUUUCACUGGGCUGUUUGGAGGCACUGUGUUUCUGUACAACGUUUUGCGGGUCCUGGGUGACUCUGCAGGAUGUCAUUUAUUUUCCUCCCAGCCCUGGGAUGUCCCCACUGAGCCUGAGGCGACGCAGGGCACUGCCCGGGACUCUUACUGCUCCAGUGUCCAGUGUGUUUUCUACUGUGCAGGAUGCAACAACAGAGAAAACUCCCAUGAUUAUGUCUUAAGGUCAAUUCUGUUUCCAGUUGACCAUUCCUGCCCUGUUUCCAAAAGGCUGAAGCCCAUUAAACCCCCACGAAGGGCUUGGGAGCUGCACCCUGUGCUGGACAACACUGCGUGAGUGCAUCCCCCUCCCUAUAAUCCCCUGUUUUGUAUCUGUCACUGGUACUCUGACACCAGUGGGUAAGAUGGAGGAAUGUGGCACCACAAGGACUAUGGAGGCCUGUGACGGACACAGCUGGUGACACCAAUGAGGCCCCACAGCCCGGAAUGCUGUAUAUUUCAUAUCAUCAGGAGAUCUG